rnacentral:rRNA from 1 species
ACGGGUGAGUAACGCGUGGGUAACCUACCCUGUACACACGGAUAACAUACCGAAAGGUAUGCUAAUACGGGAUAAUAUAUUUGAGAGGCAUCUCUUAAAUAUCAAAGGUGAGCCAGUACAGGAUGGACCCGCGUCUGAUUAGCUAGUUGGUAAGGUAACGGCUUACCAAGGCGACGACCAGUAGCCGACCUGAGAGGGUGAUCGGCCACAUUGGAACUGAGACACGGUCCAAACUCCUACGGGAGGCAGCAGUGGGGAAUAUUGCACAAUGGGCGAAAGCCUGAUGCAGCAACGCCGCGUGAGUGAUGAAGGCCUUCGGGUCGUAAAACUCUGUCCUCAAGGAAGAUAAUGACGGUACUUGAGGAGGAAGCCCCGGCUAACUACGUGCCAGCAGCCGCGGUAAUACGUAGGGGGCUAGCGUUAUCCGGAUUUACUGGGCGUAAAGGGUGCGUAGGCGGUCUUUCAAGUCAGGAGUGAAAGGCUACGGCUCAACCGUAGUAAGCUCUUGAAACUGGGAGACUUGAGUGCAGGAGAGGAGAGUGGAAUUCCUAGUGUAGCGGUGAAAUGCGUAGAUAUUAGGAGGAACACCAGUUGCGAAGGCGGCUCUCUGGACUGUAACUGACGCUGAGGCACGAAAGCGUGGGGAGCAAACAGGAUUAGAUACCCUGGUAGUCCACGCUGUAAACGAUGAGUACUAGGUGUCGGGGGUUACCCCCCUCGGUGCCGCAGCUAACG